AUUGAACGCUGGCGGCAUGCCUUACACAUGCAAGUCGAACGGUAACGGGCCUUCGGGUGCCGACGAGUGGCGAACGGGUGAGUAAUGUAUCGGAACGUACCUUUCAGUGGGGGAUAACGUAGCGAAAGUUACGCUAAUACCGCAUAUUCUGUUCGCAGGAAAGCAGGGGAUCGCAAGACCUUGCGCUGAUUGAGCGGCCGAUAUCAGAUUAGCUAGUUGGUGAGGUAAAGGCUCACCAAGGCGACGAUCCGUAGCGGGUCUGAGAGGAUGAUCCGCCACACUGGAACGGAGACACGGUCCUGACUCCUACGGGAGGAAGCAGUGGGGAAUUUUGGACAAUGGGGGCAACCCUGAUCCAGCCAUGCCGGGUGAGUGAAGAAGGCCUUCGGGUUGUAAAGCUCUUUCGGCCGGGAAGAAAUCGUAUCAGCUAAUACCUGGUGCGGAUGACGGUACCGGCAUAAGAAGCACCGGCUAACUACGUGCCAGCCGCCGCCGUAAAAC
rnacentral:rRNA from 1 species